AUACACAUCUCCGGGCCCACGUGACAGGCAGAAAUCUAGUAAGCGGCGGACGGGUGAGUAAUGUAUGGGGACUGCCCGAUAGAGGGGGAUAACUACUGGAAACGGUGGCUAAUACCGCAUACUAUCGGAUAACCCAUAUGGGAUUAGCUAGUAGGUGGGGUAAAGGCUCACCUAGGAGACGAUCUCUAGCUGGUCUGAGAGGAUUAUCAGCCACACUGGGACUGAGACACGGCCCAGACUCCUACGGAGGCAGCAGUGGUGAAUAUUGCACAAUGUGCGAAAGCCUGAUUCAGCCAUUCCGCGUGUAUGUAGAAGGCCUUAGGGUUGGAAAGUACUUUCAUCGGGGAGGCGUUACCCGCAGAAGAAGCACCGUCUAACUCCGUGCCAGCAGCCGCGGUAAUAC
rnacentral:rRNA from 1 species